CUUUCCCCUCAUUAGUUCAGUCAGUAAAUAUAGACUACAUGUUUUUUAUUUGUCUGAUUCAUUUUCAGGAUUAUCAAAGACAGAUAACAUCAAUUCUGAUGGACUUUCAAUGCUGUGUGGAAGAGAAAUAGUGAGCGUGGGCAUCUGUUCUUUGUAUGGGAAUACAGAGGGAAAGCUUUCAGAAUUGAGACGUCAGAUGUCGUUCUUAGAUUUCCAGACCAGUCACAUUGCGUACUCUUAAGGCAGCCACACUGUACCUCAGCCUCAGAAAUCUGUGCUCCAGUUCUACUGAUUUUUUCCUGCAACCUGCUGUGAUUAAGUCAACCCAGGAGGACCCAGACUUCAGAGAUCAUAGUAUCAGCCCCA